rnacentral:lncRNA from 10 species
CCGCUCGCCGAGAGGGGCUGGGAGGAGACCUGGGAGGGCGGAGGCCGCCGCCCCGGCCGGGCCACGCUGGGGGCACGAUGAUGUCAGCGGAGGAAAGGAAAUGAGUCAUCACUCCCUGGGACCGUGGGGCGGCCGGGAGCGAGUGUGGAGACGCGGCCACAGGAACCCAGGACAAUGGCGGGAAGUAAGAGGAAUGUGGGCCUGACUGCAGCCGCGCGCCCCUGACCCCGGACCCCACGGCGGGGAGGAGGCUGGGGCGCAGGGCGGGCCCCGAGGGGUCGGAAGGCGGCCAGAACUCAGGCGGGGUCGUGUGGGGACGGGGUGGCUGGAAGAGGAUGGGGACGCAGCCAAGCCCAGGGUGCCCGGCCUGAAGAACAACCCGGGCCGUCUUUCUCACCAAGGAUGUUUCCAAAACCUUAGCCGACCCCUUGGCGGUUCCUCCACUUCCCUUAAACUCUACUGAACCUCAGAAUAAUCCCGGGGGCAGGUUAAAACCCGGAUCCCCCGGCCCCACCCCGGAGAUUCUGAUUCAGCAGGACAAAACUGGGCCUCCAUGAAUUUGCAUUUUUUAAAUUAUCCUUUUUUAUUGAGAUGGGGUCUCACUGUGUUGCCCAGGCUGGUCUCAAACUCCUAGACUCAAGCAAUCCUCCCGCCUCAGCUCGGCAACGUGCUGGGAUUACAGGCAUCAGCCAGGAUCCCAGCCGGAAUUUGCAUUUUUAACAAACUCCUAGUAGGGGGUGCUGGGCCAGGGUCCUCAGACCACUCUUUUGAGUAGUGCCACCUUAGAACGAAGUCCUGCUACUUGGCGGACCUAGAACCGUCCUCUGUCAUGUGGUUCCUCCAGUCUCACCUGUCCCCACCUCCUACCCCUCACCAGUGUACUAGCAAGACCCAACUACCUGCAUGUUGCGGUUCUCUCCUCUGUGUGUUUGCACAGACUAUUUCCUUCGAUUGAAAGGCCUUCUCUUCACUACGCUGCUGCUCAAACUGUCUGACUUCUACCUGCCCUUUAAAAUCUUCUCCAUGGGUGUGUCAAAGAGUAUAAUCAACAGAGUGAAAAAAGCAACCUAUAGAAUGGGAGAAAAUAUUUUCAAAUCAUAGCUCUGAUAAGGAAUCAAUAUCCACAGUGUAUAAAGAACUACAGCUAGACCAUAGAAAAUCAAUCCUGAUUCAAAAAUGGGCAAAGGACUUGAAUAGGCAUUUCUCCAAAGAAAAUAAACAAGCGGCCAAUAAGCACUUGGGAAGAUGUUCAACAUCACUAAUCUUUAGGGAAACGCAAAUCAAAACCAUAGUGAGGCCCCCACCAUCCUGACUCUCCUUCCUUCCAGAGGAUGUUGCCUUCUGGAUCCACCUCAACCCUACUCAGGGAGCCGCUCAGCUUCCUCAAGGGCCUGGAGUAGAUGGCUUCCAUCUUCUCUUUUGCCACCUGUGGAGGUUUUUAAGAGCAAACAGAAAUUCAAGUGAAUUGUCCUCCUACAGUUACUGACGAAACUAUUACAGCUACUUCUGAUUAUCCAUUCAGGUUAAAUCAGGCAUCAUUUCAGUCACCUCCAGCCACACAAUGAGAUAUCACCUCACACCCAUCAGAAUGGCUACUGUAAAACAAAAACAGAAAAUAACAAGUGUGGACAAGAAUGUGAAGAAAGUGAAGCCCUUGUGCAGUUGGAGGGAAUGUAAAAUGUUCCAGCCACUGUGGAAAACAGUGUCUUCAUCUGUUUCCUAUUGCUAUAACUGAACACCAGAGACUGGGUAAAUUAUAAAGAAAAGAAUUUAUUUCUUACAAUUCUAGAGGCUGGGAAGUCCUAGGUCAAGGGACUGCAUCUGCUUGGCCUCUGGGGAGGGCCUCAUGUCAUAACAUGUCAGAAGGCAUCACGUGGGAAAGGGGUGCACUGAGAGCCAAACUGCCUUUAAUAACAAACCCAGGCUGGGCACAGCGGCUCAUGCCUGUAAUCCCAGCACUUUGGGGGAGCAGGGGGUCAAGGCUUGCAGAUCACUUGAGGCCAGGAGUUCAAGACCAGCCUGGCCAACAUGGUGAAACCUUGUCUCUACUAAAAAUACAAAAAUUAGCCAGGGAUGGUGGCAGGUGCCUGUAAUCUCAGCUACUUGGGAGGCUGAGGAAGGAGGAUGGCUUGAACCCUGGAGGCAGAGACUGCAGUGAGCCGAGAUUGUGCCACUGCAUUCCAGCCUGGGUGACAGAGUGAGAUUCUGUCUCAAAAAAUAUAAUAUAAUAUAAUAUAAUAUGGCACAAAGAAUACUAAAUAGACCUCUGUACUUGCCCACACAGGUUUAACAAAUGUCAACAUUUUGCCACAUUUGCUUUCUAUUUCUUUUUUCGAAAAAACAAAACAAAAAAACCCCCAAAACUGAUAAAUCUAAAGCCCUCCCAUUUUCCCUUGUAUAGAUAACCAGUGUCUCAAGUUAGUGUAGAUCCUUCUUGACCAUGUAUAUAUACACAUACAUACAUACACAUUUACUACAGAGGUAUAUAUCAAUGUAUACAAUACCAUAUCGAUAAUAUGUAUAUUUCAUACGUAUAUAAAAUAUGGGGGCCCAGGAAGCGAUCCUCUUGCCUCAGCCUCCAAAUUAGCUGAGAUUACAGGUCUAAGCCACCACGCCUGGCUAAUUUUUAUAUUUUUAGUAGAGAUGGAGUUUCACCAUGUUGGCCAGGCUAGUCUCGAAUUCCUGGUCUCAAGUGAUCCACGCACCUCAGCUUCCUAAAGUGUUGGGAUUACAUACACAAAUAUAACACAUACAUUAACAAUAUAUGUACAUAUAUACUAUCAUACUGUGUAAAUCUCUUUGAAAUUUGCUUUUUCACUCAUUUUUGAGAUUUACCCGUGUUAUUACAUUGUAGAUCUGAUUCGUUAAUUUUAAAUGCUCCAUAGUUUCCCAUUGUUUGAAUAAACCUGUUUAUUUAUUUGUUCCUUUCCUAAUGGACUGUUGGUUGUUCCCAUUUUCGUUAUUACACACAGCACUGCAGUGAAAAUUCUUGUAUCGAUGUGUGGGUGUUUUUUCCUUUUGAGACAGGGUAUUGCUCUGCCACCCAGGCUGGAGUGCAUUGGCACAAUCACAGCUCACUGAAGCCUCAACUUCCUAGGUUCAAGCAAUCCUCCCACCUCAGCCUCCCAAGUAGCUGAGACUACAGGCGCAUGCCACCACACCCAGCUAAAUUUUAAAUUUUUUGUAGACAGGGGUCUUGCCAUGUUGACCAGGAGGAUGGUUUCAAAACUCCUGGGCUCAAGUGAUCCACCCGCCUCAGCCUCCCAAAUUGCUGGGAUUACAGGCAUGAGUCACCGCGCCCGGCCUGUUUUGCGAGGCAUAUGGUUGCUAGAUCACAGUGCAUGCACAUCUUCGGCUUUAACUAGCUAUCGCCAAAUUCUCCAAAGUUGAUCUGAAACCAGUGGAGCGUGUCAGCACUGCCCCUAGCAUGCGCACACCAGGCGGGGGUGUGACAGCCCUCGGGCUAGGCCCCAACCCCACUUCGAGAUCCGUGCGGGGGCCGGGAGCUAGCAGAGGCCAAGCAAUGGGAACAGGCACCUCCAAGCCUGCAAGGACAAGGCGAG